GCGCGUCUGCCGAGAGAGCGCACUCCUGGUGCCGCCGAAGGGGCAAGGGUCGGUCCAGCCGGAACCGACACCGAAACUCUCAGGCAGAAAGGAUCGGCAGAGGCGC
rnacentral:ncRNA from 2 species